UCCUUGAUGGUCGAGUGGCUAAGACUCCACACUCCCAAUGCAGAGGGCCUGGGUUUGAUCCCUGGUUAGGGAG
rfam:TPA: Bos taurus chromosome 15, whole genome shotgun sequence.